rnacentral:rRNA from 1 species
UACGGAGGUCCCAAGCGUUGUUCGGAUUCACUGGGCGUAAAGGGUGCGUAGGCGGUCGGGUAAGUCUGAUGUGAAAUCUCACAGCUUAACUGUGAAACUGCAUUGGAUACUAUUCGGCUAGAGAGUUGGAGGGGGGACUGGAAUUCUUGGUGUAGCAGUGAAAUGCGUAGAUAUCAAGAGGAACACCAGUGGCGAAGGCGAGUCCCUGGACAACUUCUGACGCUGAGGCACGAAAGCUAGGGGAGCAAACAGG